GACGAACGCUGGCGGCGUGCCUAAUACAUGCAAGUCGAACGAGAGCGACCGGUGCUUGCACUGGUCAAUCUAGUGGCGAACGGGUGAGUAACACGUGGGUAACCUGCCCAUCAGAGGGGGAUAACAUUCGGAAACGGAUGCUAAAACCGCAUAGGUCCUUUAACCGCAUGGUUGAAGGAGGAAAAGAGGCGCAAGCUUCUGCUGAUGGAUGGACCCGCGGUGCAUUAGCUAGUUGGUGAGGUAACGGCUCACCAAGGCCGUGAUGCAUAGCCGACCUGAGAGGGUGAUCGGCCACAUUGGGACUGAGACACGGCCCAAACUCCUACGGGAGGCAGCAGUAGGGAAUCUUCCGCAAUGGACGCAAGUCUGACGGAGCAACGCCGCGUGAGUGAAGAAGGUUUUCGGAUCGUAAAACUCUGUUGUUAGAGAAGAACAAGUGCUAGAGUAACUGUUAGCGCCUUGACGGUAUCUAACCAGA
rnacentral:rRNA from 1 species